rnacentral:miRNA from 2 species
CUUCGGGGGAGGAGAGAAGC